rnacentral:rRNA from 1 species
UUGAUCCUGGCUCAGAACGAACGCUGGCGGUGUGCUUAAUACAUGCAAGUCGCACGAAGAGGCUCCUUCGGGAGUACUUCAGUGGCGGACGGGUGAGUAACGCGUAGGUAACAUGCCUCAUACAGGGGGACAACAUCGGGAAACCGGUGCUAAUACCGCAUAAGUGCAAGGUUGAAAUACCUUGUAUUAAAGGAGUAAUCCGGUAUGAGAGUGGCCUGCGUUGGAUUAGCUAGUUGGUGGGGUAAAGGCCUACCAAUGCGAUGAUCCAUAGUUGGUCUGAGAGGAUGACCAGCCACAGUGGGACUGAGACACGGACCACACUCCUACGGGAGGCAGCAGUAGGGAAUAUUGCGCAAUGGGCGAGAAGCCUGACUGCAGCAACACCGCGUGGAGGACGAAGCCCCUAGGGGCGUAGACUCCUGUCAGCAGGGAUGAUAAUGACAGUACCUGCAGAGGAAGCAUCGGCUAACUACGUGCCAGCAGCCGCGGUAAGACGUAGGAUGCAAGCGUUGUUCGGAAUUAUUGGGCGUAAAGAGUUCGUAGGCGGUGAUUUAAGUCUGGUGUUGAAGCCCGAAGCCCAACUUCGGCAUGGCAUGGGAAACUGAAUCACUGGAGUGUGACAGAGGCAACAGGAAUACUCGGUGUAGCGGUGAAGUGCGUCGAUAUCGGGAGGAACACCAGUGGCGAAAGCGUGUUGCUGGGUCAUAACUGACGCUGAAGGAACGAAAGCCAGGGUAGCGAAAGGGAUUAGAUACCCCUGUAUUCCUGGCCGUAAACGAUGGACACUAGGUGUCGGGGGUAUCGACCCCCUCGGUGCCGAAGUUAACGCGAUAAGUGUCCCGCAUGGGGAGUACGGCAGCAAGGCUGAAACUCAAAGGAAUGGACGGGGGCCCGCACAACCGGUGGAACAUAUGAUUUAAUUCGAUGCAACGCGAAGAACGUUACCUGAGCUGGACAUCUGAGGAAUCUGGAGGAAACGUGAGAGUGCCUUCGGGAACCUCAAGACAGAUGGUGCACGGUUGUCGUCAGCUCGUGUCGUGAGAUGUUGGGUUAAGUCCCGCAACGAGCGCAACCAUCCUUGUCUGUUGCUACAGAUGGAAACAUGCUGAGCAUUCAGGCGAGACUGCCGGUGACAAACCGGAGGAAGUUGGGGAUGACGUCAGAUCAUCACGCCCCUUAUGUCCAGGGCUACACACGUGUUACAAUGGG